UGGAGGUGGCUGCUCCAGCUGCCACUGGCUGUGGGGAGCUGGAUCUGGCCGUGGCCGCUUGUGGACAGCAGUAUCACCUGAACUAAUUACCGAGGAGGUGAUUAGAGCCUCAGCACACCCCAGGCGCAGGGAAACAGCAGGUCGGAGCUGCAGCCACGUGGGAGUCGUGCCGAGGAGGACUGCAGUGAAAGAGGGACUCUGUGAAACCGGGAGGUCACGGAAGGCAGUGGAAAAAGAGGCCAAAGUGCAAAAAAAGGCCUGCAGAGGGAACCUGAAAUAAGGAAACGGGGCUCUGGAAUGGACAGAUCCUGCAGCCCUGCUACAGGGUGGACCGUCUCCAAACCCCUGGCACCUUCUGGGGCAUCACCCACCUCAGUUCUUUACGAAGAUCAGCGUGUUUUCUGAACAGAAGCUUGUUCUUGACCUUCUGGGGGACAUCGGGGAUGUACCAGGCUGCGAUCAGCUUGACACACAGAGCCACGUGCUGCAGGGAGCAAAGGCAGUCAAGGGCUCCCAGCCCGGGCAAGGGGCCUGCACCCAGUCCCUUCCCCCUUGUCCCAGCCCUCUCCUGCCCUCCUGGGCGCUUACCUCAAAGAUGAUGAGGAAGGCAAGCCGGGCAGCGAAGAUGUGCCAGAACUGUAUGGUGUAGGUGUAGUCAUCGGCAUGCCGGUAAUCCCGGUACCUGCAGCACAGCCCCGUCGGUGCCAGCCCAGGUUCCUCUGUGCCAGGCGUCACACCCUGCCUUGGCUCCCUCCAUGGGGGUCAGAGAAGAGCCCCAGCAGCUUCCCCCAGCUGCCUCCAGCUCUGUCACCCACCCGCGCCCUGGCUGCAGGCUGGAUGUAACGGGGCUGUACAUGUACUUGUAGACCUGCAUGGGGAUGAAGUCAGAGGUGAUGGCAAUCACCAGCCCGUUCCCGAUGACAGCCAGGAUGCCGAUGGCCUCCAGGACCUGAAGCCAGAUCCCUGCAGGAGAAGAGCAGCUGGGUGCUCAGGGGCUUCUGGGGAAGGGGCUAAGCCCCAGCACCAUUGGCCCAAGCAGCAGUGCUGGCAGGAGGGCGCCCGUGGACCCCUCUCACCGAUGUCGUUGGCCCUCCUGGGCACCAUGCGCCGGUGCAGCCGCACCAUCUUGAUGGCGUCCAGGUGGAUCUCGAAGAGGUUGUUGAGGAACGCCAGGAGUGGGGCCAGGGGGAAGGCAGCGACAAAGAUGGUGGUGAAGCUGUACUGGAUGACUGCAGAGGGGGAGACACCGGGUGCUGGUGUGAAGCUGCUGCAGAGCAGAUGUCCUCCAGGGUCUGGAACACUGUCUGGGAAUCCCUUCCCCAGCAUCCAGCACUCUCCAGCCAAGGAGCACACGUGGCUCUGCCCCAGCACCCUCCUCGCCUGCCCUACGUACUCAUCUCCAAGAACUCGUUGAACAAGCUGAAGACGUUGACCUCGUUGAGCUCAUAGUUGCUCAGCCACUGCCUUUUGCAGGGGUCCUCAGCCUCCUCCUCCUCUCCCAAAAUUAUGCUCCUUUUCUGGGGGUGCUUAUGCUUCUUGCGUAGCUUGUGGCUUAUCCAGCUGCAAGACAGAGGGAUUUGUGUGGCUGCUGCAGACGACAGCAGGGCUGGACUGCUGCUGGGACACCCCUGGAGGAAGGGAAUGGAGGACACUCUGGCCCAAAGACCAGGGUUCCUCUC